UAUAUUUUAGUGUAAGAUGCACUGUAAUUUUUGAAAUUGCUAGAUAUAGUUUAAUUCUAUAAAAUAUAA
rnacentral:tRNA from 1 species